CAAAAAGACUGCUUGGGACAGGCGCUCCUCAUCAGUCACUCUGCAGUUCCACCAUUCGGGGAACUUUCCCGUUGUCCACACCUGGCCCCCCAUCUCCAAUGGACUUUCCUGCCCUUCAGCAUUUGGGGCAACCUCUAAAGUUGAACGGAAAUGGUGAGCUUCAUUGGCCAGACAAGGACCCAUGGUGAGCACCUAUUGGACAACGGCCCUUUAAGAACGAGCAGCACCCACGCUGGGCGUGACUCCCUCAGCCUCUGACCAGGCAAAAAUGUGUCAUGACUUUUCUGAUGAUUCAAUAGAAGCCUAAAUGAACGAAGACAAACAUAGACAUGCGAUAGAACACUAUGCAGCCUUAGAAGGGAAGAAAAUGCUGGCAUAUAUUACAACAUGGACACGCCUUCGGAAUACGCAGGUCACCCACGGUCAGACACUGUGUGAUUCCACUUAUGUGAGAUACCUACAGUAGUAAAAUUCAUAGAAACAAAGGGUGGAAUGGCAGUUUCUAGUGGCAUAGGGGAGGAGGAAAUGGGGAGCAGCUG